rnacentral:snoRNA from 1 species
GGUUGUGGUGAUGGCAGGUCAGUGGGUGUCGGACUUGACACUGGCCCGCAGCUCUGUGAGUGAUAGUCCAACCCCACAGUCUGAACAACC